rnacentral:rRNA from 1 species
UACGUAGGGUGCGAGCGUUGUCCGGAAUUAUUGGGCGUAAAGAGCUCGUAGGCGGUGUGUCACGUCGGCCGUGAAAACCUGGGGCUCAACUCCAGGCCUGCAGUCGAUACGGGCAGACUAGAGUUCGGUAGGGGAGACUGGAAUUCCUGGUGUAGCGGUGAAAUGCGCAGAUAUCAGGAGGAACACCGAUGGCGAAGGCAGUGAUCUGGGCCGGUACUGACGCUGAGGAGCGAAAGCGUGGGUAGCAAACAGG